rnacentral:rRNA from 1 species
UAAACGACUCUCGGCAACGGAUAUCUCGGCUCACGCAUCGAUGAAGAACGUAGCAAAAUGCGAUACUUGGUGUGAAUUGCAGAAUCCCGUGAACCAUCGAGUUUUUGAACGCAAGUUGCGCCCAAUGCCAUUUGGUUGAGGGCACGCCUGCCUGGGCGUCACG